CUACCCGGAGUAUCUAAUCUGUUUGCUCCCCACGCUCGUGCAUGAGCGUCGAUGUUAUCCCAGGAGGCUGCCUUCGCCAUCGAUUGUUCCUCCGCAUAUCUACGCAUUUCACUGCUACACGUGAAUUCCACCUCCCUCUGACACACUCUAGCUCGGUAGUUAAAAAUGCAGUUCAAAAGUUAAGCUCUGGGAUUUCCGCAUCUUUCUUUCAGAACCGCCUGCGCACAUACGCCCAAUGUCCGAUUAACGCUUGCCUACAUUAUUACGCGGCUGCGCAUGGCGUAGUUGGCGGUGCUUAUUCUGCAGGUACCGUCAGUUGCCUGGAGUGGUAUCGUGCCGUUUUCUUUCCUGCCAAAAAGUGCUCUACAACCCGAAGGCCUUCAUCGCCUUUUGCCAGGAUGGCUGAAUCAGGGUCUCCCCAUUGUCCGAAUUCCCCGCCGCUGCCUCCCGUA
rnacentral:misc_RNA from 1 species